rnacentral:rRNA from 1 species
GACGAACGCUGGCGGCGUGCUUAACACAUGCAAGUCGAACGGAAAGGCCCUGCUUGCAGGGUACUCGAGUGGCGAACGGGUGAGUAACACGUGGGUGAUCUGCCCUGCACUUCGGGAUAAGCCUGGGAAACUGGGUCUAAUACCGGAUAGGAGCCAUUUUUAGUGUAAUGGUUGGAAAGUUUUUUCGGUGUAGGAUGAGCUCGCGGCCUAUCAGCUUGUUGGUGGGGUAAUGGCCUACCAAGGCGGCGACGGGUAGCCGGCCUGAGAGGGUGGACGGCCACAUUGGGACUGAGAUACGGCCCAGACUCCUACGGGAGGCAGCAGUGGGGAAUAUUGCACAAUGGGCGCAAGCCUGAUGCAGCGACGCCGCGUGGGGGAGGACGGCCUUCGGGUUGUAAACGCCUUUCGCUAGGGACGAAGCUUUUUGUGACGGUACCUAGAUAAGAAGCACCGGCUAACUACGUG